CGUGGGGUGGCGCAGUGGCAGCGCGGCGGGCUCAUAAUCCGCAGGUCGGAGGUUCGAAUCCUCCCCCCGCAUCCA
rnacentral:tRNA from 1 species